UGUUCGCCAAUAGUGAGAAUCGAACCCGGGGCGCCCGCGUGGCAGGCGAGCAUUCUACCACUGAACCAAAAGCAAAC
rnacentral:tRNA from 1 species